rnacentral:tRNA from 1 species
GAGGGUAUAGCUCAGCAGUAGAGCGUGUGCUUAGCAUGCAUGAGGUCCUGGGUUCAAUCCCCAGUACCUCCA